CCUACGGGAGGCAGCAGUGGGGAAUCUUGCGCAAUGGGCGAAAGCCUGACGCAGCCAUGCCGCGUGAAUGAUGAAGGUCUUAGGAUUGUAAAAUUCUUUCACCGGGGACGAUAAUGACGGUACCCGGAGAAGAAGCCCCGGCUAACUUCGUGCCAGCAGCCGCGGUAAUACGAAGGGGGCUAGCGUUGCUCGGAAUUACUGGGCGUAAAGGGAGCGUAGGCGGAUAGUUUAGUCAGAGGUGAAAGCCCAGGGCUCAACCUUGGAAUUGCCUUUGAUACUGGCUAUCUUGAGUAUGGGAGAGGUUAGCGGAACUCCGAGUGUAGAGGUGAAAUUCGUAGAUAUUCGGAAGAACACCAGUGGCGAAGGCGGCUAACUGGCCCAUUACUGACGCUGAGGCUCGAAAGCGUGGGGAGCAAACAGGAUUAGAUACCCUGGUAGUCCACGCCGUAAACGAUGAGUGCUAGUUGUCGGCAUGCAUGCAUGUCGGUGACGCAGCUAACGCAUUAAGCACUCCGCCUGGGGAGUACGGUCGCAAGAUUAAAACUUAAAUGAAAUUGACGG
rnacentral:rRNA from 1 species